UACGGAGGGAGCUAGCGUUGUUCGGAAUUACUGGGCGUAAAGCGCACGUAGGCGGCUUUGUAAGUUAGAGGUGAAAGCCCGGGGCUCAACUCCGGAACUGCCUUUAAGACUGCAUCGCUUGAAUCCAGGAGAGGUGAGUGGAAUUCCCGAGUGUAGAGGUGAAAUUCGUAGAUAUUCGGAAGAACACCAGUGGCGAAGCGGCUCACUGGACUGGUAUUGACGCUGAGGUGCGAAAGCGUGGGGAGCAAACAGG
rnacentral:rRNA from 1 species